rnacentral:lncRNA from 12 species
GAACCUGCUUUCAGCUGGAUACUGCCAUUUCCAAAGGUCUUGAGGAAAGAUACUGCAGAUCACUGUGUUUUGGACAUCACAACGGAAGUGACAUCUUUGUCCUCCCACUAUCACUUUGUUUGCAAGGACAGCAAUGGACGGGUUCAUCCUGUGGGUAUCUCUAACUGAAGGAGCCAUAAUCCAAAUGCGUGGUUUAUGAAGAAAGCAUUUGAAACCUGUUGCUGUGUUUCUUAUUAAAUUCUUUUUGAGAAAGGCAGUCCUUUCCAAAAAUAUAUAAAUAUUUAAAUUCUAAAAAAAAUUCUUCCCAAAGAAGAUUCAGCUCUG